UGGGAAUCUUGCACAAUGGGCGAAAGCCUGAUGCAGCAACGCCGCGUGCGGGAAGACAGCCCUAGGGUUGUAAACCGCUUUCAGCAGGGAAGAAACUGACGGUACCUGCAGAAGAAGAUGCGGCCAACUACGUGCCAGCAGCCGCGGUGACACGUAGGCAUCAAGCGUUAUCCGGAUUUAUUGGGCGUAAAGAGCUCGUAGGCGGUUCGGUAAGUCGGGUGUGAAAACUCUGGGCUCAACCCAGAGAGGCCACUCGAUACUGCUGUGACUAGAGUGCGGUAGGGGAGCGGGGAAUUCCUGGUGUAGCGGUGAAAUGCGCAGAUAUCAGGAGGAACACCAGUGGCGAAGGCGCCGCUCUGGGCCGUAACUGACGCUGAGGAGCGAAAGCAUGGGUAGCAAACAGGAUUAGAUACCCUGGUAGUCCAUGCCGUAAACGUU
rnacentral:rRNA from 1 species